rnacentral:lncRNA from 1 species
UUUUUUUUUUUUUUUUUUUUUAAGGUAUCAGGCCAUCUUAUUGAAAGGUGACUGUGUAGCCGGGCGUGGUAGCGCAUGCCUUUAAUCCCAGGAUUUGGGAGGCAGAGGCAGGCGGAUUUCUGAGUUCAAGGUCAGCCUGGUCUACAAAGUGAGUUCCAGGACAGCCAGGGCUACAGAGAAACCCUGUCUUGAAAAACCGAAAAACAAAACAAAGCAAAAGGUGACUGUCACUGCUGAAAAAGGCUGGCUGUAGUCACAGAUGUGAGACAGGGGGCUUGCCUUUUUUGUUUCCUGGAGGUCCCUGUGAGAACAGGUGGGGAGGCUGUCUUCAGAUGCAGGUUCCUCUUAAGAGAGCAGAGCUAACAGGGUUCAGCAAGGUUGGUGAUGGUGUCACCAUGGAGCCUGUGGUACAGAGAUCUCAAUGUGGAAUGAUAGACAGCUUGCACGUUGUAGAAUUGGAUGUCUGUGUCAAAAUACACCUUCCAAUUUGCUGGUACCCAGGAACAGAGACAGAGAGCCAGGUUGUGUUAGAGUCCUGGCAUGUGGCAGGGCAGGUUUGGAACUCUGGCAUCUAGCCUGACUUGGGCUCAGGUCUGUUGAGUCUUUUGUGGUCUAGUAUGUGGAUGUCUUCAGAAGGUCUUGGCAGACCUGGAAUAGGUGAUGAUUUUGGGGUGUUUUCUGUAGCCCCUGGGGCUGAAGCCAAAUGAAUCUCCUUUUUCAGAGAUCUGUGUCUCUUCUCACAGCUGGCCCUGUUCACAGGUCAUCCUGCCAGGGACUAUACCUAGCCAGUAGCUCAUGUCUUACAGUGUCACAGUUUGUCUAGUUCUUGGAUAUUCUAAAUAGGUAAAUAGAGGUACUGGGGUGGGGGGUGUUAAGUUCCCCACCCAAAGUGGAGUGGGAAACACUUGUGUUACAAGUGUUCAUAGCAGCUAUGGUCUAAGAAGCCUUGGGUAAAGGCCAUGUUCUGGUCCCCACUCUCUAAGGAGCUAGCCACUGAGCUAACAGACUGGUCUGCCCCACCCCCACCCUCUUAGCACCAUCCCCCUUCAGUCUCUACCAGAACAGAAGUGGCCUUGUGGCUGGAGCCCCCACCUUCCCUAGCUCCCAGUGACCCCACCUCCUGCCAGCAACACCCCAGCAGCACAUUCCAUUCUCUGGCACUGCUGGUGGCUGGGGAUUCCGGGCUCCUUUGGCGGUGAGCCUUCUUUGGGGCUCCAGCAGAGGCUGUUUGGGCUGGGACACUAGGCUCCAGCCACACACAUUCCAGCAACAAACACCCCCCACAUUAGAUUUCCCAAGGAGUGAACUUUAGCCAGGAUUACAGAUGGCUGCACAGUUGUGGGAUGUGAGCUUGCUUUGUGCAGACCUGAGGCUGGAUGCUAGUAGGGGUGAAAAGGAAUGGGUGGGAGCGGCAGGCUUCUCUGCUGCUGCCUGGGCUCUUGUAGCAUCACGGAAGCAGCUGAAGGCAGCCUUUGAGAUUGCCUGUCCCGUCCUAUCUCACCUCUGUAGAAGGUGGUAAUAGUCCUCAGACUUUUAAGCUGUAGGCUGUGAUUCCGUGUGGUAUCCCGUAACUGCAUGUGAGGAUUGGGAAAAGUUUGGUGACAGUAAAAGGCUAUCAGACACCGAGCAACUAAAAAACAAUUCAAAACCAAACUUGAAAAUCAGUUGGAGGUGUUUGUGGAGUCCUGUCCUGAGCAUCGCAGUCUUGGUUCUGAACACACAACAGGCACCCUGUGCCCUCUGCCUCCCCUCCUGCCACACAGCCAGUGAACACUCCUUGAAUCACACAGAUGUGAGACCACUGCAUAUUGUGAACUGCAGUGUUUUUACUGUCCAGUCAGCUCCUGCUUUUACAGGAACACAAUGGCUUACAGAAAAUAAGGACAUACUAUUGCCCUGCUUGCAUGUAAAUAUC